CAAAGUGCUCAUAGUGCAGGUAGCUUGGAAAUGGACCUACUGUAAUGUGGGCACUUACAGU
rnacentral:pre_miRNA from 1 species